UACGGAGGGUGCAAACGUUAAUCGGAAUUACUGGGCGUAAAGCGCACGUAGGCGGUCCGUUAAGUGGGGUGUGAAAGCCCUGGGCUCAACCUGGGAAUUGCAUUCCAAACUGACGGGCUAGAGUGUGGUAGAGGGUGGUAGAAUUCCCUGUGUAGCGGUGAAAUGCGUAGAUAUAGGGAGGAAUACCUGUGGCGAAGGCGGCCCCCUGGACCAACACUGACGCUGAGGUGCGAAUGCGUGGGGAGCAAACAGG
rnacentral:rRNA from 1 species